UACGAACUGUGCAAACGUUAUUCGGAUUCACUGGGCUUAAAGGGUGCGUAGGCGGCCAUGUAAGUAGGGUGUGAAAUCCCCCGGCUUAACCGGGGAACUGCGCCCUAAACUGUGUGGCUUGAGUGAGAUAGGGGUGUGUGGAACUUCCGGUGGAGCGGUGAAAUGUGUUGAUAUCGGAAGGAACACCAGGGGCGAAGGCGGCUGCCUGGCCCUGACCUGACGCUGAGGCGCGAGAGCGUGGGGAGCAAACCGG
rnacentral:rRNA from 1 species